AUGCAGCGAUUUGGUCGCAAGGUUGUUACGAGGAUAGAGAUGCUACAGCAGAGCCCCACAUGUCCACGAGCCGGUGCCCGCGAGCGUCCUUCCGCCCGACAUGCAUGGCCCUGUACGUGCCGAUAGCAAACGGAUGCAUGCAAGAGAAUUCAACGACCAAUUUGCUAGCGAACUGGAGAUCCAACGAGAUGACCUCAUACCUGAUGUCAUGCUAAUACAUACUCCGGCCAACAUGAAUAAAGAAACGGACUAAACUGGGAAACCCAUCACGCAAGAGAAUAAAGAAUUAGAGAGAAGAAUAAAUAAAACAUGCAUGCAUGUAUAUGGGACUUGGACCGAUUUUUUUUUUAGGCAGAAUACGUGAGUUUUCUAUUCUCCUUUCUCUUCUUUUUUUUCCUAUUUAUACUUUCAUUUUCUUUUCUUUAGAGUUUAAUUUUAAAUCAAGUUUUGAAUUUCAAACUUAAUUAAAAUGCACAAUCAAAAGGAUACCAGUGCGAGAAUCAAAUCAUAUGUAUUUUAGAUGUUUUAUUUAUUAUUUACCAUUGCCUUUUAAAUGUGUAAUUCCCACAUAUUUAUUUCAAGAACAAUAUUUUUAUAUUGUAUGACCUCCAUAAAGAAAAUGCUCUAACAUAUAUCUUAAAGUGAAUAUCAAUACUACUAUUUGCAAUAUUUUUUAUUUAUUUUCCCUUAUACAAAUUUUUGGGCUUUACAAAUCCUACCCCCUUAAAAAUAAUCUCGUCCCCGAGAUUUGUGAGAAAAGGAACACAAAAGGAUUGGUCAGCUGUUAGUCUAUAAUUGGUUCAAAAAUUCAGAGUCUCAUUUUGUUAGUCAAUAGUGGGUGAUUAGGAGAGCAUAUGUAUCCAUCUACUUAUUAUGUGGAAUAAGAGAUGGAUAGGUUAGGGCAGGACAUAGUAGGGUAAGGAAGAACUCCAUCCCGGAUUGUGGAUCUUGACUCAUCUUGGUGAUGUAGCUUGAUCUUUGAAGUCUUGAGUUGAUGCUUAUCCUUCUUUGACAUGGUUGGUCUUCUUUGGCCUUUAUUUCUUGGAGUUGUCAUCCGAGUUAAGGACAUAUGGCUAGGACACAUGUGAGUAGGAUGGAUUGUAUGGUGUAGGUAGGUUAGAAUCUCUUGCUAGGUUAAAAUUGAAGGGUUAUGCAACUAUCGGAGGGUUAAGGUAGUUGCAUAUGGCCAAGUCGAUCUAUCAUUCUUAAUUUAGUGCAGGGUGAACUAAGUUAAGACUUGCUCUAUAGGAGUAGAGUCUAAUCUAUUUCAUCAGUAUUAUCUAUCAUGUUUAAUAAGUCACUUUAGAUUAGAUCGGAUCUAGGUUAGAUUGGUGUGACUAGCUUGAACUAGAUAAGAUCUAAUUAAUUUGGAUUGGAUCAUGAUUGUUUCUCCGAGGUGAGAUAAGCAAAGUGGUUAGGAUAAGAUAAGAUAAGAUAGAUUCUUUUAAGAUGAGAUCAAUCUAUUAAGGUAAGAGAAUAUCUUUUAAGAUAAGAAGGAUCUUAUGAAGCUAGAUAUAUUUUAGUGGAGGAUAUUCUUAGUUGAUCUAGUUAUAUUAUGAUUUCUUAUGCCUUUAUGUAUAUACAGAUGGAAUUGUGGACAUUACUCCACAACUCAUCACAAUCAAUCAAAGAUCCAAAUCAGACAGAUAUCACAAGAACAAACACUCAAGCGUAUAGUUACCUAUAAAAAUAGUUUUGUUUUUGGUCCUAAGAGUAGGUCUCCUAUUCCUAAAGUCUCUUUAGGUACGGGAUUUCAAAGUAUGAAAUCCACAUUUGUCUUUAGAAGUAAAAUGUAAGAACAAUCAGAGUAAAGCGGAAAUAGAUGAGAAAAGAUUAAGGGAAGUUUAGAAAAGAAUCGGAGUAGCAAAGGUAAGUAGACAAUGGUUGUCCAGUUCUAUCUAGGUUUCGUCCUACAGUCAACAUUCCUCUGAUACCACUUCUGUCACACCCGGGUUUUGGGGCACCAAGACCCGGGCGCGAACAUAAUCACCAGGUGUGCUGGGACCAAGUCUCACACAUAUGAUGAAUCAUGGCACAGGAUUGAAUGUCACAUCUUUACUAUAUAGCAAGAGUUCUAUACAAAAUAAAUAAAUAAUUACAUUAUAAGGAGACAACGGUCCAGCAACCCAUAGUUGACUGGGAGACGACGGCCUAGACCUCUCACGAACUCAUCACAGCAUCCUCCAUGCGCCUCAUCCUGCGGUACCUGUUCUUGACCUGUGGGGGGGGUGUGAGACAGCAAGAGUGAGCUCACAUACGUUCAUCGCUCAACAAGUUGUGGGGAAUAAUGUGCAUGAACUCGCCAAAGGUGGGAGCUCACGUGAAGUGUAAGGCUUACCAAAGAGGAUGGUUAGAGCUGAGCAUUGCUUUUAAAGUUGGUCAAAAUUUUAUUAGCAGUUACUAAGUAUAAGUAAAUACCGACCCAAUUAAGUAGUCGAACAAAAGUAACAACCUCACCUGCGAUGCAAUGCAUAUGACAAAUUGAGUUUAGGUUCCAUAAUUUAAUCAUGUGAGUGUCCGAGCUGCUCAUGACCGUGAGCACGGCUAGUAUACCAGUUUUACACUCUGCAGAGGUUGCGCAUCUUUACCCACAAGUCAUGUUACCCAUCUGCCAAGGGAUCGCGACUUCCCAUACACCUCUACCGAGGAGGCGAGGCAGGGUAACACUACGAGGCCUUUACAAAGUUCCACUAGCUUCAGAAAACCCGCUACAGUUUAUAGGAAGCUCCAAUGCAGGAAUCCCUUGCAGGACCGCCAUCGCAGCAAAAUCCUCCCGAGGGCCUCUCUGCACUGACCACUCCCCUACUGCCCUUGCCCCUUUCGGGUAAGGUAGUCUUCCACUAGCUUUCCUAAUUAGUUAGCCAAGGGCGUCCAUAAACCCUUGUGGUAGCACUGUUUUCCCGGGUGGUUCUCCAUGUUCCAAUUAACAUAAUGAUCUUAUCAUGAACAGUAAAUAACAACUGAUAAUAACAGUGUGAUCAUGAAUAAUGUAUCUCCAUACCCAAAACCACAUAUAGCACUAGCAAGUACUACCCAAAAAGUGCAGGGGUAAUCAAGGUAUAAAGAUAAUCAAACUAGGGUAACCUGUUGGGUCCCAUCAAAAUUAACCUAUGCAGAUCAUUAUGAUUAAUCAGAACAUGACUGGGUAAAAGAAGUGAUCAAGGGCACAACUUGCCUGGGACUUGAGAUUCCAGGUACCAGGAUGAUCUUCAGGUGACUCGUGACCUCACGCUAGUCGUAGCAAUACAAACAGACAUGGUAUAGACAAAAUUAACAUUACACCAAACAUAAGCACAAACUGUAUAAUAAUACUCUACGCGUCAUAACGAGAUCGUAGAAACAAGAACCACUAAAUUCGGAGCUACGGUUACCGAGUUAUAAAUUUCCGAAGAUCCACGUGGUUAAAUAUAGAAUAGACUAAGUGCAACAUUUUAACCUAUUUUUCAUGACAAAACAAAGUUACCAGAUGAUAAUAAAUAUUAUUGUGAGACUAAUGCAACUAGAAUGGAUUAAAACGGAGUUACGAAUAUUGAGUUAUGAAUUUCUGAAAUUAUUUAGCACCUAGAAUAGAUUAAUUUAAUUGAGCAAUCUUAAUUCAAGUUUCAUGGUUAACAAAGGUACUAGGUGGUAAACAAUAUUAAUACAAAAUUAUUGCAACUGAAAUGACUCAAUUUGGAGUUAAAUUCAUCAAGUUAUGAAUUUCCUAAGUUUGGGACAUUAUUUUGCAUUAAAAAGAAUUUCUGUAUUAAAUUUAAUAGAUUUCUGAGUUACUUGGACUGCGGCCACUAUUUAACAGAAACCCAGGGGGUUCUGCGCAAAAGCCACCAAGACUCAGAACUCCCCCAGUGUGGACUGCGGGUUGUUUAUAUGGUUUUACAGGGUCUCUUUAGCAAAUAUUACAUCGCGAAGGGGUACCGGUGAAGAUCGGUCGUCCGAUCACUGAUCAAGGGCCCAUAUUAGAUCGCACAUCCCUGCAAACUGGUACGACUCGGUAUCCUUGGAUCAUAAAUGAACGGCCUAGAUUUUAUGAGGCUUGAUCUGCAUCGGACGGCCGAGAAGGGUUCAGGCCGAACCGAUACCCAAGAUUUAAUCCCUGCCCUACAACUCUGAUCUAACGACCAUCCACACGUCUUCAACCUCCAGACGCACACAAUGGCCGCGCAGGGUGACAGCCGCUGGGCUACCUCGAGGAGGAGCACAGCCAUCAGCUCGCCCCACACGCGGGACAGGCGUCGAGGCAGCAGCGGACGCCUGGCCGUUGCCCAAGGCGAGAGCACACCCAGGUAAAAAAAUAUCGUUGCAUGGACAUAACUACUCCUGACCUUUACGAAUCUCGACGGAGGGGGAGGUACCUGCACGAUUCGGUGGUGGCCAGGCCCAGGCUUUCCCGAAAUGAUGGCGUCGAUGUUGCUACCCACAGUACAAGCAGCGUUUGCGGAGUAGACGAACUCCGGCGAGAUCCUCCAUGGCACAGGUUCGAUCUCCAGAGCCGGCGCCCGGGACCCUGGUGACGGUGUGUCCGAUUCCUUUGGUGGCUGCUUUUAGUUCUCUCUCGGCAAGGGUACGAGCGGUAGAUGGUGAUGGCUGUAUGCCUCAAGUAUUUAUGCACCAGAGGGGGAGAUCGGCUGGUGGUACCUGGCUAGCAUCUUGUGCGGCAUGCAGCGAUUUGGUCGCAAGGUUGUUACGAGGAUAGAGAUGCUACAGCAGAGCCCCACAUGUCCACGAGCCGGUGCCCGCGAGCGUCCUUCCGCCCGACAUGCAUGGCCCUGUACGUGCCGAUAGCAAACGGAUGCAUGCAAGAGAAUUCAACGACCAAUUUGCUAGCGAACUAGAGAUCCAACGAGAUGACCUCAUACCUGAUGUCAUGCUAAUACAUACUCCGGCCAACAUGAAUAAAGAAACGGACUAAACUGGGAAACCCAUCACGCAAGAGAAUAAAGAAUUAGAGAGAAGAAUAAAUAAAACAUGC
rnacentral:lncRNA from 1 species